ACGAACGCUGGCGGCGCGCCUAACACAUGCAAGUCGAACGGAGCUUAGAGAGCUUGCUUUUUAAGCUUAGUGGCGAACGGGUGAGUAACGCGUGAGUAACCUGCCCUAGAGUGGGGGACAACAGUUGGAAACGACUGCUAAUACCGCAUAAGCCCACGGUACCGCAUGGUACUGAGGGAAAAGGAUUUAUUCGCUUUAGGAUGGACUCGCGUCCAAUUAGCUUGUUGGUGAGGUAACGGCCCACCAAGGCGACGAUUGGUAGCCGGACUGAGAGGUUGAACGGCCACAUUGGGACUGAGACACGGCCCAGACUCCUACGGGAGGCAGCAGUGGGGGAUAUUGCACAAUGGGGGAAACCCUGAUGCAGCGACGCCGCGUGGAGGAAGAAGGUUUUCGGAUUGUAAACUCCUGUCGUUAGGGACGAUAAUGACGGUACCUAACAAGAAAGCACCGGCUAACUACGUGCCAGCAGCCGCGGUAAAACGUAGGGUGCAAGCGUUGUCCGGAAUUACUGGGUGUAAAGGGAGCGCAGGCGGGAAGACAAGUUGGAAGUGAAAACCAUGGGCUCAACCCAUGAAUUGCUUUCAAAACUGUUUUUCUUGAGUAGUGCAGAGGUAGAUGGAAUUCCCGGUGUAGCGGUGGAAUGCGUAGAUAUCGGGAGGAACACCAGUGGCGAAGGCGGUCUACUGGGCACCAACUGACGCUGAGGCUCGAAAGCAUGGGUAGCAAACAGGAUUAGAUACCCUGGUAGUCCAUGCCGUAAACGAUGAUUACUAGGUGUUGGGGGAUUGACCCCCUCAGUGCCGCAGUUAACACAAUAAGUAAUCCACCUGGGGAGUACGACCGCAAGGUUGAAACUCAAAGGAAUUGACGGGGGCCCGCACAAGCAGUGGAGUAUGUGGUUUAAUUCGAAGCAACGCGAAGAACCUUACCAGGUCUUGACAUCCGAUGCAUAGCACAGAGAUGUGUGAAAUCCUUCGGGACAUCGAGACAGGUGGUGCAUGGUUGUCGUCAGCUCGUGUCGUGAGAUGUUGGGUUAAGUCCCGCAACGAGCGCAACCCUUAUUGCCAGUUACUACGCAAGAGGACUCUGGCGAGACUGCCGUUGACAAAACGGAGGAAGGUGGGGAUGACGUCAAAUCAUCAUGCCCUUUAUGACCUGGGCUACACACGUACUACAAUGGCGUUAAACAAAGAGAAGCAAGACCGCGAGGUGGAGCAAAACUCAAAAACAACGUCUCAGUUCAGAUUGCAGGCUGCAACUCGCCUGCAUGAAGUCGGAAUUGCUAGUAAUCGCGGAUCAGCAUGCCGCGGUGAAUACGUUCCCGGGCCUUGUACACACCGCCCGUCACACCAUGGGAGUUGGGAGUGCCCAAAGUCGGCGAGGUAACCGCAAGGAGCCAGCCGCCUAAGGCAAGACCAAUGACUGGGGUG
rnacentral:rRNA from 1 species